AUUGAACGCUGGCGGCAGGCCCAACACAUGCAAGUCGAACGGUAACAGGAAGCAGCUUGCUGCUUCGCUGACGAGUGGCGGACGGGUGAGUAAUGUCUGGGAAGCUGCCUGAUGGAGGGGGAUAACUACUGGAAACGGUAGCUAAUACCGCAUAAUGUCGCAAGACCAAAGAGGGGGACCUUCGGGCCUCUUGCCAUCGGAUGUGCCCAGAUGGGAUUAGCUUGUUGGUGGGGUAACGGCUCACCAAGGCGACGAUCCCUAGCUGGUCUGAGAGGAUGACCAGCCACACUGGAACUGAGACACGGUCCAGACUCCUACGGGAGGCAGCAGUGGGGAAUAUUGCACAAUGGGCGCAAGCCUGAUGCAGCCAUGCCGCGUGUAUGAAGAAGGCCUUCGGGUUGUAAAGUACUUUCAGCGGGGAGGAAGGGAGUAAAGUUAAUACCUUUGCUCAUUGACGUUACCCGCAGAAGAAGCACCGGCUAACUCCGUG
rnacentral:rRNA from 1 species